UGAGCUUUAAUAGGACUAUUCUCCAUCACAUAAUUGUGUUGUUAAAAGCCAGGAAUGACAUGCUAACUGUCCAUGCUAGAAGGCCUUCAUCUUGCAUUAUCCAGCAGAUUCAUCAAGGUAUGAUGCUAUACCUUCAGUUAUGAAUACAAAGCUUUUCAUCACUUCUCUCAGUUUUUAAGAUUGCAAAGUGAAAACCCUUGUUCAUCUUUUAUUUUUGACCCCAGACUCUCAAGAGGAUUUGAGCAGUGAACUAGUGUGUGCUUCAGUGGGUACAUGAUGUCAGACAGUGGGCUACUGAGGGAUUCUGUAGGUACCAGAUGUGAUGACCAACAUAACCUUCAGAAAUCAACUGAACAAAUGUUUCUAGCCUUUAUAAUCAGACUGAAUCCAGCAACAUCCUCACCAAGAAGAAGAGUUUGAUGCGUACA